CUUCUACUGAGUUACUGAAGCGAUCUGGAGGUUAGAAAGGUGUCACGUGACAGGAACAAGCCAAAUCCACCGUGAGCAGGGUAAACGCUACCGGAGGGUAUUAGCUGUUACAUGGUUCCUGUAUUCACCCAUCAUUGUGGUGACUUUUGCCCCCUGAAGAUCUGGAAACAAUAUAUUUAACCACGAAGGCUCCAGAAAUCCUGCUUUGGACAGCAACAGCAUUUCUAUCUUUGAGUUCCAGCCAGGGACAAGGCAGUGUCACGCAAACACAAGGAGAGCUGGAAAAGUUGGGGGUUCAGACUGUCACCCUGGAGUGUACUUUCUCCACUGGAUACAAGUAUUAUUACUUAUUUUGGUACAGACAGCAACGAUCAGGAGCAAUGGAUUUCCUCUUCCGAAUAUUUCAGAAUAACGCUAAAAAGAACGGAGCGGGAGAAGGUUUUCUGCAGAAUUCAGGAAAUCCUCAAAAUUCUUCACUUUAAUAAUUAAAGAGCUAGAGCCGACGGACUCGGCGAUGUAUUUCUAUGCUCUGUGGGAAGACACUGUGAGGCGUUUAAUAGAGAAGCCUGUACAAAAAAACCACCCCCUGGGCUUUAUCAUCAUGAGAAAAACAACUGCAGAGUAGAAUUCCCAGGCAACAGACAGAUGGUUAAACGAGAUGAUGGUGCUGGUAUAAACCACACGAAUUGACACCCAUGGAGAUUUAUGCCCCUAAUUCACCAUUGUGUUACUUCAGAUUAACCUCAGUUUACCCACUCUGGGUCUGCUCCUCAGCUGCGGUGAAUCACUGUGGGCCAGAUGGAGUCAGCUGGCCCAGGUCCACCAUAGGUCUCAGUCAGCUGUACUUCCAUUGGGGCUGGAUUCCCCCAGCUAGAGUAAACCAGCAUGGGGCCAAUGGGAGAGAUACACAAAGACACAACACACAGAAGCAUGCAGACACACGCGCACGUGCAAACACAAACAAUAGAGACAGAUAGAAACACACCCACACUCACAAAACCGGCACACACAACACAGAGCUUUUAA